UUAAGCGACUAAGCGUACACGGUGGAUGCCCUGGCAGUCAGAGGCGAUGAAGGACGUGCUAAUCUGCGAAAAGCGCCGGCGAGGUGAUAUGAACCUUUGACCCGGCGAUGUCCGAAUGGGGAAACCCAGUGCAAUUCGUUGCACUAUCGUUAACUGAAUACAUAGGUUAACGAGGCGAACCGGGGGAACUGAAACAUCUAAGUACCCCGAGGAAAAGAAAUCAACCGAGAUUCCCCCAGUAGCGGCGAGCGAACGGGGAGCAGCCCGGAGUCUGAAUCAGCUUGUGUGUUAGUGGAACGGUCUGGAAAGUCCGACGGUACAGGGUGAUAGUCCCGUACACGAAAAUGCACAGGUUGUGAACUCGAAGAGUAGGGCGGGACACGUGGUAUCCUGUCUGAAUAUGGGGGACCAUCCUCCAAGGCUAAAUACUCCUGACUGACCGAUAGUGAACCAGUACCGUGAGGGAAAGGCGAAAAGAACCCCGGCGAGGGGAGUGAAAAGAACCUGAAACCGUGUACGUACAAGCAGUGGGAGCCUACUUGUUAGGUGACUGCGUACCUUUGUAUAAUGGGUCAGCGACUUAUAUUCUGUAGCAAGGUUAACCGUAUAGGGGAGCCGAAGGGAAACCGAGUCUUAACUGGGCGUUAAGUUGCAGGGUAUAGACCCGAAACCCGGUGAUUAGCCAUGGGCAGGUUGAAGGUUGGGUAACACUAACUGGAGGACCGAACCGACUAAUGUUGAAAAUUAGCGGAUGACCUGUGGCUGGGGGUGAAAGGCCAAUCAAACCGGGAGAUAGCUGGUUCUCCCCGAAAGCUAUUUAGGUAGCGCCUCGUGAACUCAUCUUCGGGGGUAGAGCACUGUUUCGGCUAGGGGGCCAUCCCGGCUUACCAACCCGAUGCAAACUACGAAUACCGAAGAAUGUUAUCACGGGAGACACACGGCGGGUGCUAACGUCCGUCGUGAAGAGGGAAACAACCCAGACCGCCAGCUAAGGUCCCAAAGUCAUGGUUAAGUGGGAAACGAUGUGGGAAGGCACAGACAGCCAGGAUGUUGGCUUAGAAGCAGCCAUCAUUUAAAGAAAGCGUAAUAGCUCACUGGUCGAGUCGGCCUGCGCGGAAGAUGUAACGGGGCUAAACCAUGCACCGAAGCUGCGGCAGCGACACUAUGUGUUGUUGGGUAGGGGAGCGUUCUGUAAGCCGUUGAAGGUGGCCUGUGAGGGUUGCUGGAGGUAUCAGAAGUGCGAAUGCUGACAUAAGUAACGAUAAAGCGGGUGAAAAGCCCGCUCGCCGGAAGACCAAGGGUUCCUGUCCAACGUUAAUCGGGGCAGGGUGAGUCGACCCCUAAGGCGAGGCCGAAAGGCGUAGUCGAUGGGAAACAGGUUAAUAUUCCUGUACUUGGUGUUACUGCGAAGGGGGGACGGAGAAGGCUAUGUUAGCCGGGCGACGGUUGUCCGGUUUAAGCAUGUAGGCGGAGGUUCCAGGUAAAUCCGGUACCUUUUAACGCUGAGGUGUGAUGACGAGGCACUACGGUGCUGAAGUAACAAAUGCCCUGCUUCCAGGAAAAGCCUCUAAGCAUCAGGUAACACGAAAUCGUACCCCAAACCGACACAGGUGGUCAGGUAGAGAAUACCAAGGCGCUUGAGAGAACUCGGGUGAAGGAACUAGGCAAAAUGGUGCCGUAACUUCGGGAGAAGGCACGCUGAUAUGUAGGUGAAGCCCCUGCGGGUGGAGCUGAAAUCAGUCGAAGAUACCAGCUGGCUGCAACUGUUUAUUAAAAACACAGCACUGUGCAAACACGAAAGUGGACGUAUACGGUGUGACGCCUGCCCGGUGCCGGAAGGUUAAUUGAUGGGGUUAGCGGCAACGCGAAGCUCUUGAUCGAAGCCCCGGUAAACGGCGGCCGUAACUAUAACGGUCCUAAGGUAGCGAAAUUCCUUGUCGGGUAAGUUCCGACCUGCACGAAUGGCGUAAUGAUGGCCAGGCUGUCUCCACCCGAGACUCAGUGAAAUUGAACUCGCUGUGAAGAUGCAGUGUACCCGCGGCAAGACGGAAAGACCCCGUGAACCUUUAUAGCUUGACACUGAACACUGGUCCUUGAUGUGUAGGAUAGGUGGGAGGCUUUGAAGCGUGGACGCCAGUCUGCGUGGAGCCGACCUUGAAAUACCACCCUUUAAUGGCUGGUGUUCUAACGUAGACCCGUAAUCCGGGUUGCGGACAGUGUCUGGUGGGUAGUUUGACUGGGGCGGUCUCCUCCCAAAGAGUAACGGAGGAGCACGAAGGUUAGCUAAUCCUGGUCGGACAUCAGGAGGUUAGUGCAAUGGCAUAAGCUAGCUUGACUGCGAGAGUGACGGCUCGAGCAGGUGCGAAAGCAGGUCAUAGUGAUCCGGUGGUUCUGAAUGGAAGGGCCAUCGCUCAACGGAUAAAAGGUACUCCGGGGAUAACAGGCUGAUACCGCCCAAGAGUUCAUAUCGACGGCGGUGUUUGGCACCUCGAUGUCGGCUCAUCACAUCCUGGGGCUGAAGUAGGUCCCAAGGGUAUGGCUGUUCGCCAUUUAAAGUGGUACGCGAGCUGGGUUUAGAACGUCGUGAGACAGUUCGGUCCCUAUCUGCCGUGGGCGCUGGAGAAUUGAGGGGGGCUGCUCCUAGUACGAGAGGACCGGAGUGGACGCAUCACUGGUGUUCGGGUUGUCAUGCCAAUGGCACUGCCCGGUAGCUAAAUGCGGAAGAGAUAAGUGCUGAAAGCAUCUAAGCACGAAACUUGCCCCGAGAUGAGUUCUCCCUGAGACUAUAAGUCUCCUGAAGGAACGUUGAAGACGACGACGUUGAUAGGUCGGGUGUGUAAGCGCAGCGAUGCGUUGAGCUAACCGAUACUAAUGAACCGUGAGGCUUAACCUU
rnacentral:rRNA from 1 species